rnacentral:rRNA from 1 species
AACCAGCUCUUCAAGUGGUCGGGACUAUUAUUGGGCUUAAAGUGUCCGUAGCCGGUUUAGUAAGUUCCUGGUUAAAUCGGAUGGCUUAACUAUCUAUCUGCUAGGAAUACUACUAUACUAGGGGGCGGGAGAGGUUUGAGGUACUCCAGGGGUAGGGGUGAAAUCCUAUAAUCCUUGGGGGACCACCAGUGGCGAAGGCGUCAGACUGGAACGCGCCCGACGGUGAGGGACGAAAGCCAGGGGAGCGAACCGG